rnacentral:tRNA from 1 species
AGGGGGUACGUUCCUCCCAGGACUAU